rnacentral:rRNA from 1 species
AACGAACGCUGGCGGCAGGCUUAACACAUGCAAGUCGAGCGAGACCUUCGGGUCUAGCGGCGGACGGGUGAGUAACGCGUGGGAACGUGCCCUUCUCUACGGAAUAGCCCCGGGAAACUGGGAGUAAUACCGUAUACGCCCUUUGGGGGAAAGAUUUAUCGGAGAAGGAUCGGCCCGCGUUGGAUUAGGUAGUUGGUGGGGUAAUGGCCCACCAAGCCGACGAUCCAUAGCUGGUUUGAGAGGAUGAUCAGCCACACUGGGACUGAGACACGGCCCAGACUCCUACGGGAAGCAGCAGUGGGGAAUCUUAGACAAUGGGGGCAACGCUGAUCUAGCCAUGCCGGGUGAGUGAUGAAGGCCUUAGGGUUGUAAAGCUCUUUCAGCUGGGAAGAUAAUGACGGUACCAGCAGAAGAAGCCCCGGCUAACUCCGUG